GCAGUAUAACAGAUUCUAUUUGCUAGAAAUAAUAACACAAAAAGUAUUUAAACAGUUCUCAGCUUCAACAUUGUACUGUAGUCAUAUGAUCCGAUCACCGUAUAACAAUUGUAUAAUUAAUUGAAAGUGCUCCUCUGCCUUCUGGUGACGCCUCCCGCCUCCCAGCAUGUAAAUACUAUUGGGACGAAAUGGGUGAUUCGAUGGAUUCCAUUCAAAAUGCGCUAAACAAUUCUACACACCGUUUAAUUAACACUCAUCAAUUGGAGGAGCUUCAACGUAGAAUCGGAAACGCCGGGGGGGAUUACACGAACCAGUUUUGAAUGGACACCAAUGUGAAUUUCAAAAGCGUAUUCGACGGGAGUUUAGCACUGAUUUUUGGCAGUUACCAGUUAUUGGAUACUUGACCUUGACCAGUUGUUGAACUGAAUGACUAAAUGUAUUUGAAUAAAUGAGAGUAUGUGAAUUAGAGUGCAUUCUGGAACAAUAUUAUUAAGUCAGAAACAAUUGGUCAAUGGUGCAGAAUCAGCUAUUUAUGAUUAUUAGUAUAUUAUAAUAUAUUAUAAUAGAUAU